rnacentral:ribozyme from 13 species
AUGGAUGAAGCAAAAAGUUGUAGAGACGAAUCGAUCUAUCUCAACUGGUGCACUGUUUGCAAGUCGCAAAAUAAUGACAUGUGCAAAGCUGAAGGCCAUCGGAUACAAAAGUUGGCGUA